rnacentral:rRNA from 1 species
UCCAAACGAUGCAGCCCUUCGGGGGGGAUACUGGCGAACGGGUGAGUAACACCUGGGCAAUCUGCCCUUCACUCUGGGACAAGCCCUGGAAACGGGGUCUAAUACCGGAUAACACUCGCCGAGGCAUCUCGGUGGGUUGAAAGCUCCGGCGGUGAAGGAUGAGCCCGCGGCCUAUCAGCUUGUUGGUGAGGUAGAAGCUCACCAAGGCGACGACGGGUAGCCGGCCUGAGAGGGCGACCGGCCACACUGGGACUGAGACACGGCCCAAACUCCUACGGGAGGCAGCAGUGGGGAAUAUUGCACAAUGGGCGAAAGCCUGAUGCAGCGACGCCGCGUGAGGGAUGACGGCCUUCGGGUUGUAAACCUCUUUCAGCAGGGAAGAAGCGAAAGUGACGGUACCUGCAGAAGAAGCGCCGGCUAACUACGUGCCAGCAGCCGCGGUAAUACGUAGGGCGCAAGCGUUGUCCGGAAUUAUUGGGCGUAAAGAGCUCGUAGGCGGUCUGUCACGUCGGAUGUGAAAGCCCGGGGCUUAACCCCGGGUCUGCAUUCGAUACGGGCAGACUAGAGUGUGGUAGGGGAGAUCGGAAUUCCUGGUGUAGCGGUGAAAUGCGCAGAUAUCAGGAGGAACACCGGUGGCGAAGGCGGAUCUCUGGGCCAUUACUGACGCUGAGGAGCGAAAGCGUGGGGAGCGAACAGGAUUAGAUACCCUGGUAGUCCACGCCGUAAAACGGUGGGAACUAGGUGUUGGCGACAUUCCACGUCGUCGGUGCCGCAGCUAACGCAUUAAGUUCCCCGCCUGGGGAGUACGGCCGCAAGGCUAAAACUCAAAGGAAUUGACGGGGGCCCGCACAAGCAGCGGAGCAUGUGGCUUAAUUCGACGCAACGCGAAGAACCUUACCAAGGCUUGACAUCGCCCGGAAAGCAUCAGAGAUGGUGCCCCCCUUGUGGUCGGGUGACAGGUGGUGCAUGGCUGUCGUCAGCUCGUGUCGUGAGAUGUUGGGUUAAGUCCCGCAACGAGCGCAACCCUUGUUCUGUGUUGCCAGCAUGCCCUUCGGGGUGAUGGGGACUCACAGGAGACUGCCGGGGUCAACUCGGAGGAAGGUGGGGACGACGUCAAGUCAUCAUGCCCCUUAUGUCUUGGGCUGCACACGUGCUACAAUGGCAGGUACAAUGAGCUGCGAUGUCGCAAGGCGGAGCGAAUCUCAAAAAGCCUGUCUCAGUUCGGAUUGGGGUCUGCAACUCGACCCCAUGAAGUCGGAGUUGCUAUUAAUCGC